rnacentral:rRNA from 1 species
GACGGAAGGUGCAAGCGUUGCUCGGAAUCACUGGGCGUAAAGGGUGCGUAGGCGGCCGUGCAAGUCUGGCGUGAAAGCCCCGGGCUCAGCCCGGGAAGUGCGCUCGAAACUGCGCGGCUCGAGUGCCGGAGGGGAGAGUGGAAUUCCUGGUGUAGCGGUGAAAUGCGUAGAUAUCAGGAGGAAUACCGGUGGCGAAGGCGGCCAUCUGGACGGUGACUGACGCUGAGACGCGAAAGCGUGGGGAGCAAACAGG